GUGUUUGAUGAAAGGAGAGGGUUAGCACUUUCCUUGACAAGGAUGGAUGUCAGCCCCAGGCCUGACAACACACAUAUGGUAAUGAAUUGCCACCUACUUGGUGACAUCUAACCAUGGUUUUUA
ensembl:snRNA